CUCGCUCGACCUCAGGAUGUUCCUGUCCCGUCUUUAAAUGCUUAUCUUUUAAUGUCAGACAAGUAUGCAUGGGCGUAGGAACCCAAAAAAAUCUGGGGGGGGUAGCAUUUUUACUCGACGGGUAUAUUCUUAUUCCGUAAACUAGGAGUUGUUUAUCCCAUUGUACAGCGCUACGGAAUUUGCAAUUGCUAUAUAAAUGAUUAAAUAAUAACUUGAAAGGGUCACUACAGGGACGGG